rnacentral:rRNA from 1 species
AGAUUGAACGCUAGCGGGAUGCUUUACACAUGCAAGUCGAACGGCAGCGCGGACUUCGGUCUGGCGGCGAGUGGCGAACGGGUGAGUAAUAUAUCGGAACGUGCCCAGUAGCGGGGGAUAACUACGCGAAAGCGUGGCUAAUACCGCAUACGCCCUACGGGGGAAAGGGGGGAUCGCAAGACCUCUCACUAUUGGAGCGGCCGAUAUCAGAUUAGCUAGUUGGUGAGGUAAAGGCUCACCAAGGCGACGAUCUGUAGCUGGUUUGAGAGGACGACCAGCCACACUGGGACUGAGACACGGCCCAGACUCCUACGGGAGCAGCAGUGGGAAUAGUUGGACAAGUGGG